CUUUUCUCCCCCUCCUUUUCUCCUUCUCCUUAUGGUUUGAGAAACCCACCACAAUUUCUUGUCCUUUAGAGAACUACUCUCUCAACCGAUGACCCCUCCCCAACCGGGAAGGGGAACUGGGGGAAAAACAAGGACCCAGGAGGACACUGGGGAGCUACAUUGCGGUUCUGUGAUGGUGACUUGGAGCACUGCAGCCACACUGGAGUCCGUGCCAUGGGCGCUCUGAUGCCUUGUCUCCCCUGGGCCCUCUCCUCCUGAUUGUGAUGGGGCUCAGGGUAUUCUCAUCUGUGCUGUGGAGGAAGCUGCUUCAGAAGUGAAGGAGAAGAAGAAGCGUCAGGCAAGCAAGACAAGAGCCCAGCCGGAGAAGCAGAGCGCUUCUCAGCCAGUGGAUGGAGAAGUGGAGAAAUCCUGGCCCAAGCAGGAGAAGCGGGCGAGUGCGGAGGCCUUGAGCCGGAAGCCCCUCUCCCCACGGGCCCCGCUGGCCACCAUGGACUCCAUGACAGACAGAGGCUCCUCUUCCUCAGCUUCCUUUACCCUUCCCGGAGGCCUGUCCUGGUGGGAUGGCGGAACUGGCAGCACUCAACUGCUCAGGACCCCGCCAUCCCCCCAGGGCUGUGAAGGGGAGGGUGCAGGAGCCAGGGCCAGCCCUCUGCGAGGAGCCCCCACAGGAACUGCCAACAAGGACCACGCAAGAGGUCUACUUGACCUCUUGCACAUUUUCAAGGCGUGGGGGGAGAGGCAGCAGCGCGGCGAGCCCAUGGCCAGACUGCCAUGG